rnacentral:rRNA from 1 species
UACGGGGGGGGCAAGCGUUGUUCGGAAUUACUGGGCGUAAAGGGCUCGUAGGCGGCCAACUAAGUCAUACGUGAAAUCCCUCGGCUUAACCGGGGAACGACGCAUGAAACUGGCAGCUAGAGUACCAAAGAGGCAGGUGGAAUCCCGGGUGUAGCGGUGGAAUGCGUAGGGAUCCGGAAGAACACCGGUGGCGAAGGCGGCCUGCUGGGCAGUUGCUGACGCUGAGGCGCGACAGCGUGGGGAGCAAACAGG